GCCCCGGUAGUCCAACGGCAGAGACACGGUGCUCAAACCACCGCCAGUGUGGGUUCGAGUCCCACCCGGGGCACCA
rnacentral:tRNA from 1 species